CGUUUCUAAUAAUCAUUAAUAUUUAAUAUAAUUUCAUACAUCACUCUUUCUCUAAUCCACCAACUAAUUUAGUUUAGUAAAGCAACAAAUAUUAAAGCUCUCAUCAAACUUCGCAAAAAGGUUAUUCACAGUUAUCCCAUCAAAAAUAAAUAUUUAAUUUAUUUUGGAUUUUUUUUACAAAUUUUCCAUUCUAUUAAACCUAUUCAGAAAAAAAAAGAAAUUUUUUACGCAAAAAUGCUCCGCCGUUUUAUACGUAGUGUCAUAAAGAGUCUAUAGACACUGCAAAUAAUUUAAUACCGUGCCUCGAUUGCCAACCUAAGGUUCAUGAUCCGACCACUCCCUACAUCAUAACUUUUAUGCUUGGACCUCAGGGAGAUUGUGACAUGGUGAUGGCGUCUAAUAUCGUACGACACUAACACACCCUGCCAUCAUUAUUAGGAUUUUCUGAUGGCAUAUGAUCAAAUACGAGAAUUUCUAUAUGGACCAAAUUGCUGCAUGCAGGGGAGGAUGCUGCGCCGAGGAAACAUUAAAAGAGGAAUUCAAGGUGUGGUGUGUGGUGGUGUUCGUCCUUCAUCAUUGUAUAACACCCUUGGGUCGACUUACUGGCGUACAAUCAUAUAUCACAAGGAUAAGGUUAUUUAUCAGAGGCAAAGCUACUGGGGCUCUUAAGAUGAUGAUAAUGAUGACGAAGAAUAGAGCUGGAGAAGAUGGUUUAAAGGGUUAUAACUAUUGUAUUGUUUUAUAUAAAUUUAUGCAUAGAUUAGCAAAAUUGACUCGAUCCGUGAAGAUACUUAUAUCAUGAUAUCUUAUAUCACAAUAGAGUUAUACAUAGUGAUAGUGAAACAUAGAGUUUUUUGUUUAUUAGUCACGUUAUGUACGUCAAUUAAUGUACUUCAAUAUUUACGAGUGAUUAUAAGUGUCUUGUGAUUAUUAUCAAUUUAUUUCCCUGAUGUCGUGGGUGGUUUAACGUAGUAAGUAGGUUUGUAAGAAUAUAAGCAGACAAGAAGACACAUGUCAUGGGAUUCAGAUAGUUUUUUUUCAUGGGUUAAAUAUAAUAUAUGUUUGGGAUAAAGGUCGAGCGCUUAUAUACAAUAUAUUGAGUAUGAGAUGAAUUGAUGUGUGUUUGUCAUAUAUUUAUCUGACGGUGAAAUUUUUGGAUAAAAGAGGACUCGACUAGGAAGCUAAGAAGGUUUCCAUAAUUGGUAGAAUCCCAGGCGGUGUGAUCCGCACUGAGUCUCCCCCAGGUUUAGCUUCAGUUUUCAAAAUCCUUCCUUCCUUCCUUUCCUUAUGGCUGUAUCCCCAAUGGGGGACAUGUGCCAGAGUUUUCAAAAUCCUUCUAGAAACCUUUUGUUGGCCCCUAUACUUAUAUUUCAUGUAUAAUACAGUGAAAGAAAAAUAUAGGCACGUAAAG